rnacentral:rRNA from 1 species
AUUGAACGCUGGCGGCAGGCCUAACACAUGCAAGUCGAACGAGUGGCGGACGGGUGAGUAAUGUCUGGGAAACUGCCCGAUGGAGGGGGAUAACUACUGGAAACGGUAGCUAAUACCGCAUACCAUCGGAUGUGCCCAGAGUGGAUUAGAUUGUAGGUGAGGUAACGGCUCACCUCGGAGACGAUCCCUAGCUGGUCUGAGAGGAUGACCAGCGACACUGGAACUGAUACACGGUCCAGACUCCUACGGUAGGCAGCAGUGGGGAAUAUUGCGCAAUUGGCGCAAGCCUGAUGCAGCCACGGCUGGUGUAUGAAGAAGGCCUUCGGGUUUUAAAGUAAUUUCAUCGGUGAGGCGUUCCCCGCAUAAGAAGCUCCGGCUAAUCCCGUGCCAGCCGCCGCUGUAAUAC